CAGCAACAAAGACCACCCAUCAGUAACAGACCAUAGAGGAUGGCAGUAUAUUCCAGCAACCACAAGCUUGCACUGAGCAGGGCAGGUAACAGUAGCUG